UAUUACUAAUAGGUAAAAAUAUAUAUAAUUUAUCUAAAUUAUGGAUCAUUCUGAUUUGGCUAUUCAAUCUUUUAAUUUGUUUGAUAUGAGUUAGUAAAAAGUACUUCGACUUUGAAAUUUAAUCAAAUUACUUACUUUAAUGAAUUUAUAAUUGCGAAAAUCGUAUAAGAUAUACCAACUGAACCUGUAAAGAUAUAUAUAUGACGCACUCAAAUUUUGAAGUUAAGAUAUCGUUGGCCGGCUCAAAUCAAACAAAUUAAAACAAAUCAAAAUUUUGAAAGAUUGCGUAGCUAAAUCAAAAUGACUCAUAGUUCAUAUAAGUUCUAUACGUUUUUACCUAUUAUUACCUUCACUCAGGGACAAAAUUUCUCGAUUAAAUUAUCAGAUUGAAAAUAAAAAAGAAAAUUAUGAAUCCACGAAUGUAAGUAUGUAGUUCGAGAUAUUGUAAUUUACUAUGUGAGCAAUAAAUUUGUUUUAAUGAAUAUUGUGAUUGUAAUAAUGUGAUGGGCCUUUUUUUUCGGUACAAUUUAUGUGAGAGUCUCGUACUAACGACGUUCAAAGAAUUUGA
rnacentral:lncRNA from 1 species